ensembl:lncRNA
GAGCCGGCUCCCUGUCAGCAGCCCCUGUGAGCCAUCGAGCUGGUCUCUCCAGGGCAUUUUCUAAACAAUGUGAAACGACCAGAGGUGGGAAUUACACCUGCGGUCCAUUGCCUCAUCUCUCCACAUCCUCCUUAUGGAGAAGAAGUUCCCUAAAGAUGAUUAAUUACCUGAAAGAAUUCCAUAGGUGAAAAGACCUGAUGGGGGGUGAUUUUUAAUUAAUGGAGGUAACUUUGGACAUCUGUAAAAAUCAACAAUCCUCCAGAUGAAAGCUAAGAAUUCAGUCCUCUGAUAUGUAAUUGAGUGUCUUUCUUUUCAGUGGAUUUGCUGGAAGCCUCUCGUGAUGGUCUUUAUUCUGAGCAAAAGCAUCUGCUAAACAAUUAACUAAUGGUUUUACCGAUUGGAUUUUAAUUUUUUAGUGGUUGUUAUAAAAUCAAUAGAGCAGCAGAAAAUUUAGAAGAUGCAGAAAACAAUCUCCCCGAAUCCUGCCCCCAUCACGAAGAUCUGAGAUGACAAUUGUACGUUUCCAGCCCUUCGCCCUACACAGACGGUUUUGCAGUUGUAAACACAGGGUAGGCUGUACCCUGUUUUUUUUCACUUAAUAUAAUCUGAUUCUCUUUUAUGAGCAAUGAAAUUUGAUACGAGGUACGGCUCAGUCUUUCGAAAGACCAUUGUUGGAAGGAUUGGUGAGUAUUUGCUAAGGCCCAUCGACUUCAGGGAAUCAGGAAAUUAAACUUUUUAUUUAUUGGUCUUUGACUUUCCCAUAAAUGGACACAGUUCUACCUUGUUUGACUGCAGUGUCGGCCUGGCUGAACAAAGGCCAUGCCGAUGAGUAAUUAGGCAUUAGGUGGAGGCAGGGCAGAGCUUUAUGGGGCCAUUAGUCCUUGCCCACAGCUGCUUUCAAGGUUCAGGGGCUGCUCCUUGGGCAUCAGGUACUUAUAAAGGCAACGUACAGCAUUUCACACUUACACAGCCCUUUCUGAGUCCUCGACACGGCACCAGGAAUCCCACAAGGACUACCUGGUAUGUUUGGGAAAUGCCAGACUUGUUUCACCCAGAGAAAAGCCAGGCUUGAGCCGUGCUGUCAAGCCUCAAAGCCCAGAGCCGAGUUGAAGGGGGUCUAACUGGCUCAAGACACCGCAUCAGGACCAAAGAUUGGGGGUGGCAGCAGAGAGCUCAGAGGAGGAAAUGUGUUCUUCUUGCUUGUUUUAUGGUUCUUAGGGUGUUACCAUAACAGCGUGGAUUCUUCCCUGAACACAGCAGAACAUAUGGGAAACCUAUACUUAGCUUAUCAUUUCAAACCCUUCCUCCCCCACACCCAUCCCCCCUCCCAGGGUACCAAUUCUGCAGGUUAAAAAAAAAAUUGUUGAAUUGAAGGAUGCGCCUGCUCCCCAGACCCACGGACCAGCAGUGAUGUGUCCUGAGCUUUGACUGGAGUUUUGAUUGACCCACUAACAUCCCAAAAAGAAAUUGUUCACGCAAUGGUUGUAACAGCCGUGGAAGGAGACGUGCGGCCACCGUGUCUGCAUCCGGGGCCACCAGAACAGAGACGGCUGUGGCCAAAGACAGCCACAAAAUAUGCCAAGCAAAGAGAGGGCACAAAGCCAUCUCUAAAAUUUGUCAUAAAUGUCAAAACAGACCAAAGGAGAAUGUGCUGCUCCACCUAAAAACAGAGAGCAUUUAAGAGUUGGUCUCUUAAAGGAAAUGAUUGCUCUGUUCUUUCAGCAAUUGUGUCUGAGGGUCUUGAGAUCUGAUGUUUGCAAGUGUAAAUUAGAAAGUCCAACCAUUAUGCACAUGCCUACCACACACAGUAAGUAACGGAAGUUUCCCGGUUUUGUUCUGGAACAGAUACUAGGCAGCAUCACUCCAAAACAGUAUUACGAAGCCAUCAGCCAUUCUUUUAGUGUCUAAGUCAUUGCUAGGAUGGCACAGGUCCAAGUCUAAUUCAUUAGCCAGGAAGAAAUCUAUAAACACCUGCAUGUAAUUGAUUAGUAAGUUGGGGCUUCUUUAACUGGCUGUUUGCGCCUCUGUUCGAAACAACACACUAAAACAAAGAACCAACAGUGGCAAGUCAU